rnacentral:rRNA from 1 species
UACGUAGGUGGCGAGCGUUGUCCGGAUUUACUGGGUGUAAAGGGCGCGUAGGCGGGAGUGCAAGUCAGAUGUGAAAUCCAUGGGCUUAACCCAUGAACUGCAUUUGAAACUGUAUUUCUUGAGUGUCGGAGAGGUAGACGGAAUUCCUAGUGUAGCGGUGAAAUGCAUAGAUAUUAGGAGGAACACCAGUGGCGAAGGCGGUCUGCUGGACGACAACUGACGCUGAGGCGCGAAAGCGUGGGGAGCAAACAGG